rnacentral:rRNA from 1 species
UGGGGAAUAUUGGACAAUGGGGGCAACCCUGAUCCAGCGACGCCGCGUGUGUGAAGAAGGCCUGCGGGUUGUAAAGCACUCUUAGUGGGGAUGAAAAGCACAUUGCUAAUACCAGUGUGUCUUGACCUAACCCAAAGAAAAAGCACCGGCUAACUCUGUGCCAGCAGCCGCGGUAAUACAGAGGGUGCGAGCGUUAAUCGGAAUUACUGGGCGUAAAGCGUGCGUAGACGGUUAUCUAAGUCGGAUGUGAAAGCCCCGGGCUCAACCUGGGAAUUGCAUUCGAGACUGAAUAGCUAGCGUGCGGUAGAGGGAAGCGGAAUUUCCGGUGUAGCGGUGAAAUGCGUAGAUAUCGGAAGGAACAUCAGUGGCGAAAGCGGCUUCCUGGACCAGCACCGACGUUCAGGCACGAAAGCGUGGGGAGCAAA